rnacentral:rRNA from 1 species
AGCAGCCGCGGUAAUUCCAGCUCCAAUAGCGUAUAUUAAAGUUGUUGCAGUUAAAAAGCUCGUAGUUGAAUUUCGGGAUCAAUCUAUCGGUCGUGCAAUAGUACGUACUGAUUUUAUUGAUUCCUCCCUUCUGAUGAACUAUGAUGUCAUUAAUUUGGUGUCAUAGGGAAUCAGGACUGUUACUUUGAAAAAAUUAGAGUGUUUAAAGCAGGCUCACGCUUGAAUACAUUAGCAUGGAAUAACGAAAUAGGACGUUUGAUUCUAUUUUGUUGGUUUCUAGGAUCGACGUAAUGAUUAAUAGGGAUAGUUGGGGGCAUUAGUAUUCAAUUGUCAGAGGUGAAAUUCUUGGAUUUAU